rnacentral:sRNA from 1 species
UAUUAGCCCCGAUUGAAACGACAUCCUUUUCGGGUGCGGGCGGAGCAAAGCGGAGCCCGUACCCGAAAAGAUACAGUGGAAAGCGGGAAAAAGC